UUAGAGUUUGAUCCUGGCUCAGGAUGAACGCUAGCUACAGGCUUAACACAUGCAAGUCGAGGGGAAACGAUAUUGGAAGCUUGCUUCCGAUAGGCGUCGACCGGCGCACGGGUGAGUAACGCGUAUCCAACCUGCCCAUCACUUGGGGAUAACCUUGCGAAAGUAAGACUAAUACCCAAUGAUAUCUCUAGAAGACAUCUGAAGGAGAUUAAAGAUUUAUCGGUGAUGGAUGGGGAUGCGUCUGAUUAGCUUGUUGGCGGGGUAACGGCCCACCAAGGCGACGAUCAGUAGGGGUUCUGAGAGGAAGGUCCCCCACAUUGGAACUGAGACACGGUCCAAACUCCUACGGGAGGCAGCAGUGAGGAAUAUUGGUCAAUGGGCGAGAGCCUGAACCAGCCAAGUAGCGUGCAGGAAGACGGCCCUAUGGGUUGUAAACUGCUUUUAUAAGGGAAUAAAGUGAGUCUCGUGAGACUUUUUGCAUGUACCUUAUGAAUAAGGACCGGCUAAUUCCGUGCUAGCAGCCGCGGUAAUACGGAAGGUCCGGGCGUUAUCCGGAUUUAUUGGGUUUAAAGGGAGCGUAGGCCGGAGAUUAAGCGUGUUGUGAAAUGUAGAUGCUCAACAUCUGCACUGCAGCGCGAACUGGUUUCCUUGAGUACGCACAAAGUGGGCGGAAUUCGUGGUGUAGCGGUGAAAUGCUUAGAUAUCACGAAGAACUCCGAUUGCGAAGGCAGCUCACUGGAGCGCAACUGACGCUGAAGCUCGAAAGUGCGGGUAUCGAACAGGAUUAGAUACCCUGGUAGUCCGCACAGUAAACGAUGGAUGCCCGCUGUUGGUCUGAAUAGGUCAGCGGCCAAGCGAAAGCAUUAAGCAUCCCACCUGGGGAGUACGCCGGCAACGGUGAA
rnacentral:rRNA from 1 species